rnacentral:rRNA from 1 species
UACGUAGGGUGCGAGCGUUAAUCGGAAUUACUGGGCGUAAAGCGUGCGCAGGCGGCUAUGCAAGACAGAUGUGAAAUCCCCGGGCUCAACCUGGGAACUGCAUUUGUGACUGCAUGGCUAGAGUGCGGCAGAGGGGGAUGGAAUUCCGCGUGUAGGCAGUGAAAUGCGUAGAUAUGCGGAGGAACACCGAUGGCGAAGGCAAUCCCCUGGGCCUGCACUGACGGCUCAUGCACGAAAGCGUGGGGAGCAAACAGG